AUUGAACGCUGGCGGCAGGCCUAACACAUGCAAGUCGAGCGGAUGAAGGGAGCUUGCUCCUGGAUUCAGCGGCGGACGGGUGAGUAAUGCCUAGGAAUCUGCCUGGUAGUGGGGGAUAACGUCCGGAAACGGGCGCUAAUACCGCAUACGUCCUGAGGGAGAAAGUGGGGGAUCUUCGGACCUCACGCCUUCAGAUGAGCCUAGGUCGGAUUAGCUAGUUGGUGGGGUAAAGGCCUACCAAGGCGAGUAUCCGUAACUGGGACGAGAGGGUGAUCAGUUACACGGUAAGAGAGAAUGGGCACAGACUCUUACGGGAGGCCACAGUGGGGAAUAUUGGGCGAGGGGCGAAAGCGUGAUCCAGCACUGCCGGGUGUGUCAAGAACGUCUUAGGAUUGUAAAGCACUGAAGGUUGGGAGGAAGGGAAGUAAGUUAAUACCUUGCUGUUUUGACGUUACCAACAGAAUAAGCACCGGCUAACUUCGUG
rnacentral:rRNA from 1 species